UACAGAGGGUGCGAGCGUUGUUCGGAAUUACUGGGCGUAAAGAGCGUGUAGGCGGUUUGGUAGGUCCGCUGUGAAAACUCGAGGCUCAACCUCGAGACGCCGGUGGAAACCAUCAGACUAGAGUCCGGAAGAGGAGAGUGGAAUUCCUGGUGUAGCGGUGAAAUGCGCAGAUAUCAGGAAGAACACCCGUGGCUAAGGCGGCUCUCUAGUACGGUACUGACGCUGAGACGCGAAAGCGUGGGGAGCGAACAGG
rnacentral:rRNA from 1 species